AACAACAAAAUAUGCUACAUUCAUGUUACGUCUGUUAGGAAUGAAGAGGUGAAUGAUUUCACUAUCACAAGGUGGGAUACUUGCAGGAAUUGUUUAAAACGGUGGCUUUGCUGUGAUGGCGAGUCUCAUAAAAUAGCCGAGACAUUCACAUCCUGUAUCGAUGUUAAAUUUAAAGAUAUUCCUGAUGACGCUGGGCUUCACCUGACUUGUUACCGGCGGUUCAAUGAUAAGAAGCGUUUGGAUUCUGCCGAAAAACUGGCCAAUCGGCUGGAUGUGGGUCAAGAUGAGUUUGUGGCAUCGGACAUUCCAAAGAAAAAACUAAGUUCGAAGACGGGCCUGCCUAUUGGUUCUGCUGGCCCUGUGCUCCCUGCCAUUUGGAUCAUUUGCAAGAAAACGGACAAGAGAAUUACUCUGGGAGGCAAACGGCAGAGGGACCAUCUUUCACAGGCAGAAACGCUUUCAGCAGGCCAGUUGAUGAACGCUGCCAGGAUAAAGCAAGACAGUAGCAUUCUCUUGCAUAUUGGAGACAGAGACUGUGUGGCCAUGGAAGUGCGGUUCCACAAGUCCUGUCAGCUUCAUGACAAAGUCUGAUGUAACACUUACUGGAACCGCAGAUGAAGAAGUUGAACCAACCUUUGAUGCCAGCUACAACAUAUUCUGUGAGAGGAUCAUCCGCCAAAGGAUAAUUGUUAAUCAGGAGGUGCUGAGAAUGAACCAGCUAUGACGAAUGUUUUUAAAUACGGUG